UUACUAGUUCAAGGUCCAUCUAUUUAUGGACAUUAACAAUGUGAGAAGGCUUUUGGUUUUGUAUUUAUCUUCAUUUUGAAAUUAAAAUGAAAUACAGAACUUCAUUUCAUAAUUAUUAAAUCCUUCUUUUGUCUUGUUGAUAUCUGCUAUAGAAAUGAUCAAGUCAAGAAAUUUAAUGUCAACUCUCUAUCAGUCAACUGUCUUGGAGCCAAAGGAGUUACUUCUGGUCUUCUACUGCCCGAUAAAUUCGUCAGACCACAGUCACCUCACUGAAGGAGCAACUUCCCUGAGACUUCAAACUGGAUAUCUACGAUAGUGUUCAAAUUUAGGCUAUGGCCACGGUAAAACGGCUGCACAAGGUCUUGUUUGCUGUUCUUCUAGCCCAAUAUUUACUUCCUGAUUUCUACUCUCACCAGCUGCUUGCAAAGGCUUUACUCUUUCCAGCCUGCUCCUGCUCCAGCCUGAGACUUCACAGUUUCCUCUUUAACUAAUUUUUUUUGAGGCAUCAGCUUCUGUGCU